rnacentral:rRNA from 1 species
GAACGGGUGAGUAACACGUGAGUAACCUGCCCUUGACUCUGGGAUAAGCCUGGGAAACUGGGUCUAAUACCGGAUAGGAACGUCCACCGCAUGGUGGGUGUUGGAAAGAUUUAUCGGUCAUGGAUGGACUCGCGGCCUAUCAGCUUGUUGGUGAGGUAAUGGCUCACCAAGGCGACGACGGGUAGCCGGCCUGAGAGGGUGACCGGCCACACUGGGACUGAGACACGGCCCAGACUCCUACGGGAGGCAGCAGUGGGGAAUAUUGCACAAUGGGCGAAAGCCUGAUGCAGCGACGCCGCGUGAGGGAUGACGGCCUUCGGGUUGUAAACCUCUUUCAGUAGGGAAGAAGCGAAAGUGACGGUACCUGCAGAAGAAGCACCGGCUAACUACGUGCCAGCAGCCGCGGUAAUACGUAGGGUGCGAGCGUUAUCCGGAAUUAUUGGGCGUAAAGAGCUCGUAGGCGGUUUGUCGCGUCUGUCGUGAAAGUCCGGGGCUUAACCCCGGAUCUGCGGUGGGUACGGGCAGACUAGAGUGCAGUAGGGGAGACUGGAAUUCCUGGUGUAGCGGUGGAAUGCGCAGAUAUCAGGAGGAACACCGAUGGCGAAGGCAGGUCUCUGGGCUGUAACUGACGCUGAGGAGCGAAAGCAUGGGGAGCGAACAGGAUUAUACCCUGGUAGUCCAUGCCGUAAACGUUGGGCACUAGGUGUGGGGACCAUUCCACGGUUUCCGCGCCGCAGCUAACGCAUUAAGUGCCCCGCCUGGGGAGUACGGCCGCAAGGCUAAAACUCAAAGGAAUUGACGGGGGCCCGCACAAGCGGCGGAGCAUGCGGAUUAAUUCGAUGCAACGCGAAGAACCUUACCAAGGCUUGACAUGUUCUCGAUCGCCGUAGAGAUACGGUUUCCCCUUUGGGGCGGGAUCACAGGUGGUGCAUGGUUGUCGUCAGCUCGUGUCGUGAGAUGUUGGGUUAAGUCCCGCAACGAGCGCAACCCUCGUUCCAUGUUGCCAGCACGUAAUGGUGGGGACUCAUGGGAGACUGCCGGGGUCAACUCGGAGGAAGGUGGGGACGACGUCAAAUCAUCAUGCCCCUUAUGUCUUGGGCUUCACGCAUGCUACAAUGGCCGGUACAAUGGGUUGCGAUACUGUGAGGUGGAGCUAAUCCCAAAAAGCCGGUCUCAGUUCGGAUUGGGGUCUGCAACUCGACCCCAUGAAGUCGGAGUCGCUAGUAAUCGCAGAUCAGCAACGCUGCGGUGAAUACGUUCCCGGGCCUUGUACACACCGCCCGUCAAGUCACGAAAGUCGGUAACACCCGAAGCCGGUGGCCUAACCCUUGUGGGGGGAGCCGUCGAA